UAAUACGGAGGGGGUUAGCGUUGCUCGGAAUUACUGGGCGUAAAGCGUACGUAGGCGGAUUAAUAAGUUAGAGGUGAAAUCCCAGGGCUCAACCCUGGAACUGCCUUUAAAACUGUUAGUCUUGAGAUCGAGAGAGGUGAGUGGAAUUCCAAGUGUAGAGGUGAAAUUCGUAGAUAUUUGGAGGAACACCAGUGGCGAAGGCGGCUCACUGGCUCGAUACUGACGCUGAGGUACGAAAGUGUGGGGAGCAAACAGGAUUAGAUACCCUGGUAGUCCACACCGUAAACGAUGAAUGCCAGACGUCAGCAAGCAUGCUUGUUGGUGUCACACCUAACGGAUUAAGCAUUCCGCCUGGGGAGUACGGUCGCAAGAUUA
rnacentral:rRNA from 1 species